AAAAAAAGUUAAAUGUCUCAGGUAUCUUGAAGCCAUAAAAGGUUCAUAGAGUGUCUUGGCUGCCCAAAGAAUUGCUUCUUUUAUUUUUUUAUUUUUCUAACUUGUAGGGAAAGGUCUAGUAUUUAAGAUACCUGGAUUUUCCAGAACAUAAGAAUCCCUCAGCCAACAUUUAUUUUGUUUCUUGCAAUUGAGAGCCAAAGACAAGCAGUUCUUGUGUGGUUCAAAGGUAACAAUGCCCUAGCGACACGAGCUGUGUUUAUCUUGGCCCUGGUGGAGCCUGGGCACCAUGUUAGACACUGUGGUCUUGGCAGUAAAACCCUUACUUUCCCAGCCACAGACCUACUAGCUGAGAAAGCCAAUUCUAAGCACCGGGCUAGCUCUCCCAAGGUCUCAGAAUGUGGUCACUAGACUUUAGUCAAAGGUUUCAGGACCCGUGUUCUGCCUGUCCUACAGUCUUCAGAGAAUUGAGCUUUCAUUCUGAAAUGAGGAAAUCUUCAAUGCUGUUUAUUUUGGUUAUUAUGUGAUAAACAUGCAAGUUUGCCAUUGCAGAAAUAAAUGCUAAUGAAGUUAAAGGGUAAAUCUAGAGAAGAGGUGGAAUGGAGAUCAAAGCCUGCAUGAGCAGCAAGAGCUGAUGUCUGCUGCUACCAGUAGAAUCUACAGAGCAGAAGAGAACAUCAAAUCCCCUGGAACAGGAGUUACAGACAGUUGUCAGCUGCUAUGUAGGUGCUGGGAAUUGAACCCUGGUCUUCUGGAAGAGCAGCCAGUGCUCUUAACCACUGAGCCAUCCCUCCUUCCCCUCAGUCUUAUUGUAACUCAACUUGUGACUUUAUCCUAUAUGAAAGUGAUAUUAUGGAGUUAGAAUUUUCUAUUUUUUGUUUCAUUUUCUACAAAUGAAAUGCUGGGGAUUAAACCCAAGGCCUCAUGCAUGCUAAGCACAUACUCCACCACCAAGCUGUAUAGCCUCUGUGCUCCAGGCUAGUGAGGUGUGAUAUGAUAUACUCUCACAUCUUUGGACAGCUUGUUAUGUAUUAUGUGGUUCUGAACACUCAUGCACACCCUACUGUGUUGUCAAUAGUGUGAUGGUUAAUCGUACUUGUCACCUUGAUUCCAUCUGAAAUCAAUUGAAAGACAAGCCUCUGGGUGCACCUGUUAGGUAUUAUCUAGAUUAGAUUAACCUCUGGGUGCUGUGGGAUGGUCUGUAUGGCAAAUGUGUUGCUCUGAUUGGUUAGUAAAUAAAACACUGAUUGGCCAGUAGUCAGGCAGGAGGAAGUAUAGGCGGGACAAGGAGGAGAAGAAUUCUGGGGAGUGGAAGGCUGAGUGGGAGACACUGCCAGCCACCGCCAUGACAAGCAGCAUGUGAAGAUGCCAGUAAGCCACGAGCCACGUGGCAAGGUAUAGAUUUAUGGAAAUGGAUUAAUUUAAGAUAUAAGAACUAGAUAACAAGAAGCCUGCCACGGCCAUACGGUUUGUAAGCAAUAUAAUCUCUGUGUUUACUUGGUUGGGUCUGAGAGGCUGUGGGACUGGCAGGUGGUAGAGAUUUGUCCUGACUGUGGACCAGGCAGGAAAACUCAAGCUACAUCUGGGCAUGGCUGUGAGGGAUUUUCUCUUUUAAAAAAAUACUUUUAUUGCUGGGCAGUGGUGGCACAUGCCUUUAAUCCCAGGAGGCAGAGGCAGGUGGAUUUCUGAGUUGGAGACCAGCCCAGUAUACAGAAGGAGUUCCACGACAGCCAGAGCUACAUAGAGAAACCCUGUCUCGGAAAGAAAUUUUUAAAAUUAUGUGUAGGUGUGUGUCUUCAUGUGGGUUAUGUGUAUGUGAGUGCAGGUGCCCACAGAAACCAGAGGUGUCAAAGGAUCUGGAGUUAAAGACAGUUGCAAACUGCUUGACCUGUGGGUGCUUAGAACUAAGCACUUGUCCUCUGAAAGAGCAGCAGCAAGUGUUCGUAACUACUGAGCCAUUGCUCUAGCCCAAGGAUUUUUAUUACAUUAGCUGAAGUGGGAAGACCCACUUUGACUGUAGGUAGCACCUUCUAGCACCAGCCACAAAACAAGGGUUUGUUUGUUUGUUUUUACUUGUUUGCUUUUUUGUCUGGUCAGUGAGCUCAUCUUCCCUGUUCAUGAGUUCACUUACAUUGGUGCUGCUGUUGUCAUUGCUGCUGACAUCAGAACCCAGCUUCUUCAGCCUUUCAUCCUGAACUGAAGACCAAUGGCUCUCCAAGAAUCUUCUGGGACUUUAACACCAUAUUGGGACUACUGAGGCUCCUAGCUGAGUAGAUGGAGCAGCUAACAGUUCUCUCUUUCUCAAGUGUUAAGGCAGCCAUUGUUGAAUUACCUAAACCGUAUCCUGUAUGUCAAUCUAAUAAAUCCCCCUUUCUAUAUCCAUCCUAUUGGUUCUGUUUUUCUAUACAUACUCAAUAAAUUAAGACAUCCAGUACUUUGUUUUUA